UACAUGGGGUGCAAACGUUGCUCGGAAUUAUUGGGCGUAAAGCGCGCGUAGGCGGUUACUCAAGUCGGAUGUGAAAGCCCUCGGCUUAACUGAGGAAGUGCACCCGAAACUGAGUAGCUAGAGUACCAAAGAGGGUCGCGGAAUUCCCGGUGUAGAGGUGAAAUUCGUAGAUAUCGGGAGGAACACCGGUGGCGAAGGCGGCGACCUGGGUGGAUACUGACGCUGGGGCGCGAAAGCGUGGGGAGCAAACAGG
rnacentral:rRNA from 1 species